AGUACUCGGAGCGCCGGGGAGGCCGCGGAGACUCACGUGUGCAGCCCCAGCCGCGGGCGCCCGGAAGCACGCGCGCCGACCCCGUGGGAGCCGAACGCGGGAGCCGCUGCCCGAGCGGAGCUGCUCACCCGCGGGACUGAUGACCUUGGCCAUGAGGCACCCCCAACUGCUGUCUGCUCAGGCGCAACCUGCGUGACUGAGCCUCCGCUGCGCCAGCUGUUUCACGUCACCAUUCCCUUUACUGAACCCUGGCCCAGUCUGGAGCCACAGCCCGCGCUCAGCCUUCAGGAAGCCCCUGGGGCCCAGCCCUUCCUGCUCCGGCUGCUCUCAGGGCCCCUGCCCAGCCAAAGGGCAGUUCCAGGAAGACUCCCUCUGGCCCAGCCCAGGGCUGCAGCCACAGCUGGUCUUCAGCCCGCCGCACAUCUUUGCAGAGUUUGAUGGGGCGCCGGGCGGAUGACAGCGGGAACGGUUGUGAUCACUGGCGGAAUCCUAGCUACGGUCAUCCUCCUCUGCAUCAUUGCCGUGCUGUGCUACUGCAGGCUCCAGUAUUACUGCUGCAAGAAGAGUGGAACCGAGGAUGCAGACGAGGAGGAGGAGCAGGAGCACGACCUUCCCACGCACCCCAGAGGCCCCAGCUGCAAUGCCUGCAGCUCCCAAGCCCUGGACGGCAGAGGCAGCCUGGCGCCUCUCACCGGGGAGCCCUGCAGCCAGCCCUGUGGGGUGGCAGCGAGCCACUGCACGACCUGCUCCCCAUACAGCUCCGCCUUUUACAUACGGACGGCUGACAUGGUGCCCAAUGGGGGUGGAGGCGAGAGGCUCUCCUUUGCUCCCACAUACUACAAAGAGGGGGGACCCCUAUCCCUCAAACUGGCAGCACCCCAGAGUUACCCGGUGACCUGGCCAGGCUCUGGGCGUGAGGCCUUCACCAAUCCAAGGGCUAUUAGUACAGACGUGUAAACCCUUCCGCUCUAACCCGCAGACACGCCCACACUGCUGCCCUGGCGGGAGCCAUGGACACAGUAGCUGACCCUCCAACAGCCCCUCACGGGCUCUCUCUGUUUCUUUGGCUUUUCUUACUCCACAGUGAAGGGUUUACUAGGAUCUAAGCUUUUGAUUGCAUUGAGAAGCGGGACAGGGCCUGGCUCCAACUCCGUGGCCCAUAGGUGGGGCGCUGCUAGGUUGAGUCUGCAGCUUCGCCGGGUUCUCGGUUGGGACACUCCUCUGGCAGCCCCAGCAGCACCACAACCCUUGCAGUGUGCCCAGCCCCUGGCUUUGCUGGACUGCACAAAGCACCGCGGAAAGCUCAGCGAAGGCUCUGGAGGCCUCCAGCGCCCUUGGGAGAUGAAGCAUCUGUGCCUACGAGAAGGGGACAGAGGGCAGGGGGAGAAGGGAGAGCUGCGAUUCCAGCAUUGGAGAAGCCAGGGGAGGGGCGCGAACGGGGCCGCGUAUCCAAGAGCUAGUUCACAACCCACUUUUGUACGUUGGUUACCAUAGCCACUGCUGUCACUGUAGCUGCUCCCGUAGGGACGUUGAUUCCUGAACGUGUCACAUCUCGCCUGCCCCCUUCCUCGUGGAACACGUCGAGUUUACUUUAAAGCCUAAGGUGACUUACGGGGACGGCACCAGAAAGUGACUCUAACCUUGUGUUCCCCGAAAUCCUUUCUCUGCCUUAGGAACCAGCGCCCCCUGCUGGAGAAGCUUUUUCAUUUCGUUACCAGAUGUCUAGUAGUUUAGCAGAGACCAGCUGACUGUCUCGGCCCAGCCCACCACCCCGAGCAGCUCGCGUGGAUGCAGUCCUGUGAGGGUGUGUGCACUCCCGUUCCCAGGUGUACACACACACACCAGUCACCACCGGUAGGCAACAGGGGCUUUGUACCUUCAGGAGCUGCAGAGUGGAAAGGUCUCCCGUGUACCAUCGAGAAAGAGAAGUCUGAUCCCCAAAUAGGUUGAAUGAAAGGCGGUUAACGUGGCCAAUCCCCAUGGCAGCCAGCGGGCUGGUGAACAGGAAGAGCUCAGACUCUCCAUGGGGUGAAGCUGCAGCAGCUGAAACCACGUCAGCACCCCCAUAGCCCAGCAUUCUACUCGGACAUCCACCCGUGACGCCGUUGAGCAGGACCUUCAUCCCAGAGCAACAGCACAUAGCCUUGGGAUUCCACGCUCGCCGCCCACACGUGGCCGCCCUACUCCCCAGUCUCUGGCGAUGAGCCGUUCAUUGUGGCUCACACCAGCUUCAUUUCCAACUCUGACUUCCCACUUAGAACGUGGCCGUGGCCUUAUGCUUGGUGAGUGAGCAUGCCUGAUGAGUUUUCCAGUGGCCCUGCAGAAGCUCGCCCCACUCCCACUCCUGAGUCACUGAAUUCGCAGAGGGUGGGGCAGGGAAAGGGCUGGUCUCCCUGCUGCAAUCUUGAUUCUGCAUUUGACAAAAGCAGGGUGCCUCUGAGGGAGCAAGGAGGGAGGAGGGGAACGCACGUCCUUUGCACCACGAUUAAGGCACCUUUCACCUUACAUCUCAAUCAGUAAUCGAAGCGCCCUGAGUUGAGAAGCAGACUGGGCUCUGGUUACACUUUGGUCACUCAUUAGCUCUAGGACCAGUCACUAAUCUCUGAGACUCCAUUUUCUCUGGGGAAACGUGGUUUGCCCAGAUAAACUAAGGACCAUUUAGUGCUCUAGGAAGUAAGGAUUUCCCAAAAAGAUCUGCUGGCCCGGGCCACUCCCUCUUGCCCUAAUCCUGGCAGGGUCUGGAGGUAUUGACCCAGCUUUCUGACCUUGUGUGCCGGGAUGCUUGCUGAUGGAUGAAAGACCACAAUAAAACAAGAUUAGCAGCAAA